AUACUUACCUGGCAGGGGAGACACCAUGAUCACAAAGGUGGUUUUCCCAGGGCAAGACUCAUCCAUUGCACUCCAGAUGUGACCUCUAUGAUUUCCCCAAAUGUGAGAAACUUGACUGUAUAAUUUGUGAUUAUAAUUUUUUAAUUAAAAAAU
rfam:Pan troglodytes isolate Yerkes chimp pedigree #C0471 (Clint) chromosome 8, whole genome shotgun sequence.